AGAUAUCCUGUUGCUAUUGAUUUGUAUUUUUUUUUCCACUUUUGAUCAGAUAACAUUAUCUAGCUGACUUCAAUCUUCUAAGAUUGAGACAUCACAUGUUCUUGAAAAUCGAGCCUCUGAAGCACCAGGUGUGGUGUUUUACGAUCCUCGGUCAGUUCCUGGCAGUUGAGGAGGAUUUGCAGCUCAUCUGUGGCCAUGCUGACUCAGUGGACAGACAAGAGAGAUGACAGCAGCAAAUGCCAGGCGGGACCACCAGGGGGCGCUGCAGAACCAUCGGCACCUGACAGCUGGGGCUUUCUCAAGAAAAUUGCAGACCUUGGCUCCAGGCAUCAGAAGAACAAGGUGUGUGGGAGUUUCCAUUUGAAGCUCAAUAUGUUUUAACAGA
rnacentral:lncRNA from 1 species